CACUACAAAAGCUACAAAAGCUCCUAGCUGCUGGCUCCACUCCUCUGGACCCUGUUUGCUGGCCUUAAAACAAUAGGAGUAGAAGAGAGGCCUUAGCAGGAGCAAAGCUCUCAGACUCUCCCAGUGAGGUGAUACUGAGUCCUGGCUCCUGUGGCCACCCAGAAAGAGAGCCUGCCUGGGCAGGACAGUGGCCUCCAAUAGUCCCCCCAGCGCUUUAUCAUUGCCCAGACUCCCAGCCUGGCCUGUCAGCCUGGGCCUGCCCGCAGCCUUGGGAGGUACUGGGGAGGGGAGAGUUUCAGGUCUGAUGAAAGCCACCGAAACUAGCUCAGAGCUCCAAUGAAAGGAACCAAGAAGAGGCAUGAGUCUGUUUGACUGCUGGGUGGCAGGCAUGACUAGACUUGUCUUUCUCUUGGGGAGAUGAAGACAAAGACAGCGUCAUCCGCAGAGCGAGCCCUGUGCCUCCGCUACUGCCCCCGCACAGUCUCUUUGCUCGGAAGAUGUGACUGGCCUCUGAGUCCCCACCAAAGAACCCUGGGAGCACAAGGCCACUUCUAUCACCACACAGGAGUCCUGAGUGUGGAGAAACAGGGAAGGGGGUAAGUGGAGAGGUGGCAGCAUCAAUUCCUGUCUAGACUGGAGUUUUGGAAUCCAGUCGUCCUGAUGAAAGGAUACAUUAUGGAGACAGGAAAUAAAUCCACCAGGUCAACAAGACGGCAUUCACCUAGGAUUAUUUACACUUUUUUCCACUCUCUGGUCGUUGCCUGUCCUACUGCCAUCUGCUUUCAAGUUUCAACAGAGUCACUGAUUGCAUCAUAACUUGCAGAGUCUGAAUAUAAUAGCUCUGGCUGGCCUGGAACAUGCUAUAUGGACCAAGAUGACCUCCAAUUUGUAGCAACCCUCCUGCCUGCUGAAUGCUGGGAUUGAAGAUGUAUGGCACCACAUCCACCUCUGCUGAAAGAUUUCGUGCCAAAAUCUCUGGACAAGGUCUAGGCUCUCUGCUUUAAAUAUACCACCCACUGUGCUAAAAGUCUGAAGAGCAUAGUUCCUGACCCCCCCCCAGCACACAUCCCUACUCCUACCACCCACUACCACCAAACCCCACCCUUGCCAAUCUCAGUGAAUCAGUUUGCAGCUCAACUCCCCCAACCCUACCCCCCAACUUCCAAACCCACAUUCAAGGCUUCCACCUAGCAUCCCUGUGACACGUGUCUGGCUUUGAGGCCAUGAUCGGGGCUUCCUGGGUGGUGGGCAGACCAUAGUCGCCUCAGAGACCACAGUCUCUCAGAGGCUCCAGUCUGAGCAUGCAUCUCCUUCACUCCAAGUGCCCGUCCUUCACCUGUUCUGACUCUCAGAUGAACCACCAACACCUCCCACAAAUCUCUAAAGGUUAUAAUCUUCCCAGUAAGCCUCAUGAAAUACUUCUAACCUUUGCUGAGUAACUUUGGCCUCUGUGUCAUCAGAGGACCUCAGCAUCCAACCAUUGCUCAUGAAGGUGUCUACUAAGGUACCUGCUAUGUCCUGCCUGCUCCUUCUAGGUGCUCACAGCUCAGUGCCAGAUGGAGAUCAACCAUGGAGGCUAAGAACUAUUGUCCAGAAUGGAAGAGACACUGGGUGGUGAGAACCUAGGGAAGGGAAUAUACUUUCCAUCUUGGCAUGGGCCAGGACUGGACAUUUAUACUGGGAAGGAAGGAUGUUUAAUGUUUAAUGCAUACAGCAAAGCGGGAACAGAGAUACUGGGGCCCAGGAAACACAGCUUCAUGCAGAGUAAAGAUGUCUAGGAUGCUUGAAGACAAACCUGAGGGUGAAACCAUCUUUCAGAGAUUUCUCAUUGUAUUUCUGGGAAGGGGAGGUGGAUUGAAACUGGCUCUCAUUCACUCUGUAGCCCAGGCUGGACUGGAGCUCACUUUGUAUUAAAGUUUUUGAGAUCCUACAAGGCAGGGUGUAGCCACUAUUCAUCCUAUAGAUGGCGGAGAGCUGGAGUCAGUGAUUUGAACAUCAAGGGCACUCAGAGAUUUUGCUACAUCUCCCAAGGGAAACGGGAAGGGUUUGAGCCAGUGAGUGCUAGUUAGACUUGCUUUGUCCUUUCUCCUCUGCCUUCAUCCAGGGUACUCCAUCUGUCCAUGGUUCUUCUGACUCCUGACAGCAAUUUUCCCAUCCUCAAGUCCUAGCUCCAGGAACCCCGCUGAAAGCAGUACCUUUUCCAUGGAACUGAAUGCUGUCUUGUCUCUUAUCUCCCUCCUUCAUUUCACACAUCCCGUCUUAUACAUCCUGUCCACCCAUGAGUCUAAACUCUCCUCCAGAGCACACAGUGCUUAAGACCUCUCUCAGCAUCUUCCUGACAUCUUCUAAGACCUGUAACCCUGCCCUGUGGGACCUGCCUGGAAGUGUGUGCUGCCUGAGAUGGAAUCUCUAUGGAGGCACAGCUCCUUCUGGAGGCCCAGGGGCUGGACAGGGGAAGAAUGAAAUGGGGCCUGUGACAUGGGCCCGAGGCAGAGGAGGUCCUAGGAUUAUCUGGAGCUGGUCUUAUCUGCUUCUGUUACCUGGCAGCCACCUCUGCCCUCCAGAAAAGCCUAGGAAGAAAUGGCUGGGUCCUAAUAAGAUGGGGCGAGGCAUCCUUUGUUCGCCUGACUCCCAGCAAAGAGGAGCCUGCAGCCAUUGCACUGAGUCACCCGGAAAGUCAUCACUUCCUACACAUCUGAUUCCUGCUUACUGUUCAUCAGGCCUACCUCCAAACUAAGAGCCAACAGGACUACAUCCACAUCUGUCUCUUCACAUUCCCUCUUACUGCAGGUCUCUGUGUCCCUGUGUGCGGCACAUGCUCUUUCCAGUGCAUUAGGUUUGCCAACACACCAGAGUGAUAGCCUCAAGACAGCAGGGCCCUGGUCCAGGCUGAAUUUGCAAAUGCAUGGGGGACCUUGGGUCUGUGCCUUCCUCAUUAGUUGCUUUCCUCAUCUGCAACUUGAAGAGGUUGUCCUAAGUAGGUCUUUUAUCCUGAGGCUGCCUAACCCUAUCUUCUUGGAGAAUUGUUCAAAAUUCAGACCGGUGGAUCUUCUUCCCAGGCUGACUAGAUUCCACUCCCAGACAGUAGGAUUUAGUAUUUCCUUUUUUAUGUGUGUGUGUGUGUAUGUGUGUGAUGAAGGUGUUCUGCUGUGAGUAUGAGCAUGGAAACCAGAUGUCAGUGUCUUCCUUGAUCAGUCUCCACCCUAUUUUUUAAGACAGGGUCUCUCAGUGAACCUGGCUAGACUGGCUGACCAAAUUGUCCCUUGGAUCCACCUGCUUCUGCCCUCCAGCACUGGGGUUACAGGUGCCCACCACAAAACCCAGAUGUGGAUCUGAACUCAGCUCUCCUUUCGUGUCUCUCAAGGGCUAUUAUAAGUACUGUGUAAAUCCUUUCAUGGUAGGAGUUGGGGAUACACACUUUUUCCCUAUGAGAAUAUAUCCCACCCCAUCUCUCUUCACUCAGACUGCCUUGAAAGAAGACAAAAGAGUGGAUGGUUUUUACCUCUCAUGAUUCUGAAAGCCAGGAGUCUAAGAUUUGGGCCUUGAUUGCCUUGGUAACUGGUGAGGGGUCUCUUCCUGGCUUGCAAAUGGAA